UGUGGAGAAGCAACCCUAUUGUGUCAAAGGGUAACAUUUUCAUUUGUUACUCCAGCCACUUUUGCGCCUGGCUCUGCCCACCAUUGGCAUAUGGACCCCGAAAGGUUUCCCAGGAGGGAAUGUGGCCCUUGGGCUAGAAAAGUCUCCUCUCCUCUGUGAUGGAGAACCAGAUCUGAGAGGAAGGACUGCAGCCGAGCAUUUCCCCUGAUAUUUUCGUUUCCAUUUGUGUCGGAAUCUUCUUUGGUAAAGGAGCAUCCCGUUAGGAGAAGCUGGCCAUUGCUGUCCCCAACACACUGUAAGAUGCCUGGCCUUGGCUGUGUGAGAGCCACAUGAACAGGAUCCCCUGGUGUCCUCACCUCCAGCCGGCUGUGUGAGCUCCAGCCUCUGUGCUGAAGACCCCAGGGACUGGAAGGUCACAUUCAUGAGCCCAGAAAGAGACUGACGCCUCAGAGAAGGGGAAUGUGCCCAGCCCAACAGCCUGCCUUGAUUUCCAAGGAGCAGCUGCCCUGUCUCAAUUUCCCUCUCUGUCCCGUGGGAGCAAAGGAGGUCCAAGGCAUUAAGUAAGAAGACGACCUUUGCAUUGUGAGGCUCAGCUUUAUUUGUGGGUUUGAACCAAAGAAGUUGGCCAGAUGACAGAAAGGUGGUGGCUGAGCUGACUCUAGCGGACGAUCCGUGCAGGAGUCAAUCGCAAGACUGGAGCAAACCACAAGAUGGAGUGAUUGUCAUUCCUGCGUGAUGACCGGGCUGUAUUCUACUCCCUUAUUCAGGCAUACAGUGUGCAUCAGAAUAACAAGCCCUGUGCGUCAUGACACAGCAACGCACACCAUCACCAAGCUUGCUUGAGCUGACUGGCUGCCGGGACCAGGGCAGGUAUGGUUUCACAUCAAGGUGAUUUCAGUCACCAAGGGAAAUGAAAAAGAGAUUUAAAUCAUCCUCUUUGUAAUUUAUACAUUUCCGGAGGAAGCAGACAUCAUAACUGGUUGAGAAAACUAUCAAACCUUUUGGAGUGUGCUCCUGGGAACCAGGAUGCGUUUCGUUUUUGCAACUUUUCUGUGAAGCCUUUCGAGUCUUUUGGGACAAAUCCCUCCUCUCAAUAUCUUAUUGUUAUUAAAUGAAAUUUUGUGAAACUUGAAAUAACCGCAUAUUUUCUCACUAUAUGC